rnacentral:lncRNA from 1 species
AUGGAUGAAUUGCAUAUGUGUACUGGUAGAGCUAGCUUCUGUACUGGCAAUUUUCUACAUUGCCAAAAUAGGAGGUCUAGAAAAAAAAAUAGUUUACCAGAGUACAUUGAUUAUAUCUUUUUUUCUUUUUUUUUUUUAAAAAUACACAUAAUUUUAUUUCCACCCUUUUACAUAUCAACUAUAAUCUAUAAUGCAAGAAUUCUGAGUGUCAGAAUAAGCAUAAAAAUGGUACUUUUAACAUUAUACUGGAUAAUGUGCAUUAAGUCAACUGUUUGGCAGGAUUGUUAAAUUUAGUAGUAUAUACCCAAAACAACUUUUUAAAUUCAAAAAUAACACUUAAGUUUUUAUGAUGUUACAUCUUAACUUUUUAAAAAUAUCAUGCUCUAGUUAAAUAUUUAAAGGACAACACUGUAUACAAAUAAAACAUUACACAAAAUAUAUUUAAGAAAAUGU